rnacentral:rRNA from 1 species
AAAUUGUAUAUUAAUAACAAUUUAUUKGAUUAAUUUAAAGUUGAUAGGGGAUAAGCUCUAGUAUAUUUAUAAAAUUGUUUGAUUAAUAAGUUUUAGUAGGUUUAAAAUUAUCCAGCUAUAUAAAGUUUGUUAUAAAUUAUUUUUUUUAUUAAUUAAUUUUUUUAUUUUUAAUAUUUUAUUGAAAUGUUUGAUAUAAUUUUUACUUCUAAGUAAUAAUGAUUAAAUUAGUAUAAUAUUUUGUAUUAUUUUGAUUAAUAUAAAUAAUAAAAUAAGGAACUCGGCAAAUGUUAUUCCCGCCUGUUUAACAAAAACAUGUCCUUUUGUAUUUAAUUUAAGGUCUGACCUGCCCAGUGAUUUUAUUUUAACGGCCGCGGUAUACUGACCGUGCAAAGGUAGCAUAAUCAUUAGUCUUUUAAUAGAGGGCUGGAAUGAAAGGUUUAACGAGGAAUAAGCUGUCUCAUUUUAUUUGUUUUAAAAUUUAAUUUCUUAGUUAAAAAGCUAAGAUAAUGUUGGAAGACGAGAAGACCCUAUAGAUCUUUAUAUAAUUUUUUUAAUUUAAAAUUAUAUUAUUUUAAUUAUAUAUUAUUAUAUUUUGUUGGGGUGACAAAAAUAUAUAAAUAACUUUUUUAUUUCAAAAACAUUGAUUAAUGAUUAAAUGAUCCAAUAAUAUUGAUUACUAGAUUAAGUUACCUUAGGGAUAACAGCGUAAUCCUCCUUGGAAGUUCUUAUUUACAGGAUGGGCUUGCGACCUCGAUGUUGGAUUAAGAUAAUAGCUAGGUGUAGCCGCUUAGUAUAUAGGUCUGUUCGACCUUUAAACUCUUACAA